rnacentral:rRNA from 1 species
GAUGAACGCUGGCGGCGUGCUUAACACAUGCAAGUCGAACGGUGAAGGAGGAGCUUGCUCUUCUGGAUCAGUGGCGAACGGGUGAGUAACACGUGAGCAAUCUGCCCUUGACUCUGGGAUAACAGUUGGAAACAGCUGCUAAUACCGGAUACGAGACGUGACCGCAUGGUCAACGUCUGGAAAGAACUUCGGUCAAGGAUGAGCUCACGGCCUAUCAGCUAGUUGGUGAGGUAAUGGCUCACCAAGGCGACGACGGGUAGCCGGCCUGAGAGGGUGGACGGCCACACUGGGACUGAGACACGGCCCAGACUCCGUACGGGGGCAGCAGGUAGGGAAUCUUCGGCAAGUGGGCGGAAGCCUGACCGAGCGACGCCGCGUGAGGGAACGAAGGCCGUUCGGGUUAGUAAACCUCUGUCUGGGGGGACGAGAACGGACGGUACCCCCCGGAGGAAGCCCCGGCUAACUACGUG